CGCCUCGCGGGUCCUGGCAGGGUGAUAGUGAGCACCGAGCAGCUCCGCGUUAUCCCAGAGUCCUCCGCCGCCGUUAAUUCACGUUUGGUUUAAUUUAGCUUAUGAAUCCCCAGGAGCCCUUCCGGGAGGAGAAUUGAAACGAUAUGAACGUUCGUCCCGGGGAUUCUCAACGUUCCCCUUCCGGGACGCGGCGAAGAGGCGGCAAAGCGCUGAGAGAGAAAAUGGCGGCGCGCGGCCGGGAGGCGCCGUGAGGGCUUUGGGGGCGGUUUUGGGGCCCCUCCCUUUGAGCCCCCUCUUUUGGGGCCCCCCAGGGGCUGCCCUGCCCUGCCCCCCUCUGUGGGGGGAGGAAGAAGAGGGGAGGAAGAAGAGGAAGAGGAGGAGGGAAGGAAAAAGGAAGAAAGGAAGAGAAAAAGGAAAGAGAGAAAAGAGAGAGGAAUAAGAGAAGGAAGAGGAAAAGGGAAAGAGUGAGGAGAAAGAGGCAAUAAAAGGAGUUGUAAGAAAGAGGAAGGAAAACUCAAAUAGAAGAGGAGAAAAGCGGAGGAAGAGCAUAAAGGGGGGAGGAAGAAGGGAAGGAAAAGGAGGAGGAGGAGGAGGAAGAAAAGGAAUAGGAAGGGGAGAAAGGAAGGGGAGGAGAAGAGAGAGGACAGAGAAGAAAAGGAAGAAGGAGGAAAGAAAGAAAAAGGAGAAAGAGGAAAAGGGAAAGGAAAAAAUAAGAGGGGGAGGAGGGAGGAAAAAGGGAAAGAACUGCAGAUUUAGAAAAGAAUACAGGAAGGAAAGGAAACGGAGAGGAAGGAAGUGGAAGAGGAAGAACGAAGAAGAGGAAGAAUAGGAAAAGU
rnacentral:lncRNA from 1 species